rnacentral:ribozyme from 1 species
AAUUAUGACCAAUUACACGUGAGGACAGCACACUACACACCAAUUCCAGUUGGAUGCUCUCCACUGAAGCGCCCGCUCCAAGAAUACCUCAGGUAUGGCGUGAUCAACCUGGACAAGCCGGCG